rnacentral:piRNA from 1 species
AUGCAGGGCUGUGUUUGUAAUGUA